rnacentral:rRNA from 1 species
GUCUUUUUGAUUUUAAUUUAAAGUUUAACCUGCCCAUUGAAAAUUUUUAAAAGGCUGCGGUAUUUUGACUGUACAAAGGUAGCAUAAUCAUUAGUUUUUUAAUUGAAAACUUGUAUGAAUGGUUGGAUGAGAAAUUAACUUUUUUAAAAAAAUAAUUGAAUUUUACUUUUUAAUUAAAAGGUUAAAAUAAAUUUAAAAGACGAGAAGACCCUAUAGAGUUUUAUAAUUUAUAUUUAAUAUUUAAAAAGAUUAAUUAAAAUUUUAUAAAAGAAAAUAUUUUGUUGGGGUGAUAAUAAAAUUUAAAUAACUUUUAUUUUUUUUUACAUUAAUAUAUGAAUUUAUGAUCCAUUAUUGAUGAUUAGAAAUUUAAAUUACCUUAGGGAUAACAGCGUAAUUUUUUUUAAAGUUCAUAUUAAUAAAAAAUUUUGCGACCUCGAUKUUGGAUUAAGAUUUAAUUUUAGGUGCAGCAGUUUAAAUUUUAAGUCUGUUCGACUUUUAAAUUCUU